AGUUAACGUUGGCGGCGUGCCUAACACAUGCAAGUCGAACGCGUCCUAAGGGCAACUUUAGGAUGAGUGGCGAACGGGUGAGUAUCACGUGGGUAAUCUUCCUUCAAGUGGGGAAUAAGCUCUCGAAAGGGAGUCUAAUACCGCAUGACAUUCCGGGACACAAGUCCCGUAAUCAAAGCCGCAAGGCGCUUGAAGAUGAGCCUGCGUCCUAUUAGCUAGUUGGUGGGGUAACGGCCUACCAAGGCUCAGAUGGGUAGCCGGCCUUAACGGGUGGUCGCCCACACUGGGAUUGAGAUACGGCCCAGACUCCUACGGGAGGCAGCAGUCGAGAAUAGUCUACAAUGGCCGGAAGGCUGAUAGUGCGACGCCGCGUGAACGAGGGAGCCCUUCGGGGUGUAAAGUUCUUUUCUAUACGAGCAGUGCUAUAUAUAUGGAUAGUAUAUAUAGAGGGAUAGUAGUAUAGGAAUAAGCAACGGCUAACUCCGUGCCAGCAGCCGCGGU
rnacentral:rRNA from 1 species